CCUACGGGAGGCAGCAGUGGGGAAUAUUGCACAAUGGGGGAAACCCUGAUGCAGCGACGCCGCGUGGGUGAAGAAGUAUUUCGGUAUGUAAAGCCCUAUCAGCAGGGAAGAAAGAAGACGGUACCUGACUAAGACGCCCCGGCUAACUACGUGCCAGCAGCCGCGGUAAUACGUAGGGGGCGAGCGUUAUCCGGAUUCACUGGGUGUAAAGGGAGCGUAGACGGCCGUGCAAGCCAGGAGUGAAAGCCCGGGGCCCAACCCCGGGACUGCUCUUGGAACUGUGCGGCUGGAGUGCGGGAGGGGCAGGCGGAAUUCCUGGUGUAGCGGUGAAAUGCGGAGAUAUCAGGAGGAACACCGGCGGCGAAGGCGGCCUGCUGGACCGCGACUGACGUUGAGGCUCGAAAGCGUGGGGAGCGAACAGGAUUAGAUACCCCUGUAGUC
rnacentral:rRNA from 1 species